UACGUAGGGUGCGAGCGUUGUCCGGAAUUAUUGGGCGUAAAGAGCUCGUAGGCGGUUUGUCACGUCUGCUGUGAAAUCCCGAGGCUCAACCUCGGGCCUGCAGUGGGUACGGGCAGACUGGAGUCCGGAAGAGGAGUGUGGAAUUCCUGGUGUAGCGGUGAAAUGCGCAGAUAUCAGGAAGAACACCUAUGGCGAAGGCAGCACUCUGGGACGGUACUGACGCUGAGACGCGAAAGCGUGGGGAGCGAACAGG
rnacentral:rRNA from 1 species